rnacentral:rRNA from 1 species
GACGAACGCUGGCGGCGUGCUUAACGCAUGCAAGUCGAACGGAAAGACCCUGCGUUUGUUGGUUGCUCGAGUGGCGCACGGGUGAGUAACACGCGAGGAACCUGCCCUUGACUUUGGGGUAACUUUAGGGAACUGGGGCUAAUACCGGAUAGGAGAUCCUGCUGCAUGGGGGGGGUUGGAAAGUUUCGGCGGUUGUGGAUGGAAUCGCGGCUUACCAGCUGGUUGGUGAGGUAGUGGAGUACCAGGGGUUUGACGGGUAGCCGGCCUGAGAGGGUGAACGGGCACAUUGGGACUGCGAUACGGACCAGACUCCUACGGGAGGCAGCAGUGGGGAAUAUUGCACAAUGGGCGGACGCCUGAUGCAGAAACGCCGCGUGCGGGAUGACGGCCUUCGGGUUGUAAACCGCUUUCGCAUGUGCCGAACCGUGAGUGACGGUAAUGGGUCAAAAAGCCACGGCUAACUACGUG